CGCCGCACUAAGUAGCUGGUCGACUUUUUUAACUGCAUCGAGACGCUCCGCUCGUGAGGAUUCCCUCUUGCUGCUUAAGGGGUUUCUGUUUUCCAUCUGUGCACUGCUUAAUCGCCGAGGAGCUGAAUUCGCCGUGCCGUGAUGGCUGCUCCGACCGUGCCAGUGGCGUUGGUAACAGGCGCCGCGAAGCGUCUUGGUAGCGGCAUCGCUGAGGGACUCCACGCGGAGGGGUACGCUGUCUGUUUGCACUAUCAUCGCUCUGCUGCAGAAGCGAACACACUGGCCGCGACGCUGAACGCAAGGCGACCGAACAGCGCCAUCACGGUGCAGGCGGACCUGAGCAACGUUGCCAAAGCCCCGGCCGGCGGCGCUGAUGGCGCUGCACCUGUUACCCUCUUCAAGCGCUGUGCUGACUUGGUGGCUGCGUGCUACACCCACUGGGGACGCUGCGACGUGCUCGUGAACAACGCCUCUUCCUUCUACCCCACGCCGCUGCUGAGGAAAGACGAGGAUGGCCACGUGCCCUGUGUCGGAGAUAGGGAGGCGAUGGAGGCGGCCGCCGCUGACCUCUUCGGCUCCAACGCGAUGGCGCCCUACUUCUUGAUUAAGGCGUUCGCACACCGCGUCGCGGACACCCCAGCCGAGCAGCGCGGCACCAACUACUCCAUCGUCAACAUGGUGGACGCCAUGACAAGCCAGCCUCUUCUCGGGUACACCAUAUAUACCAUGGCCAAAGGGGCGUUGGAGGGGCUGACACGGUCUGCCGCGCUGGAGCUUGCGCCGCUGCAGAUUCGAGUGAACGGCGUCGGCCCGGGUUUGUCGGUGCUCGCCGAUGACAUGCCCCCUGCUGUGCGGGAGGACUACCGCAGCAAGGUGCCUCUGUACCAGCGUGAUUCCUCCGCCGCAGAGGUGAGCGACGUUGUUAUCUUUCUGUGCUCCUCCAAGGCCAAGUACGUCACCGGCACCUGUGUCAAAGUGGAUGGCGGCUACAGCCUUACCCGGGCCUGAGCGCGGCGCAUUACAGCCACAACCCCAGCGACUCUCGUGUCGACGGAAGCACCCUCAACCUCUCUCGUGCGUGCGCGUUUUUUUUUUUGUGUGGGGACAACGGCGCGCACAAUCAGGAUCCCUCGCGCCCGCCCCACCCCCCCCCCCACCCCGCAGCCUCUUCCGCAUCGCGCCGCGCGAACGCAGUCUAGGAGAAAGGAGAGAGGGGGCGCACAGGUUACAGCUAAAGCGCCGGGGAAAGACAAUGACAGAGAGAGAGAGAGACGGAAACAAACUAAAGAAAAAAGGUGCCGAACGGAGUGAGCGCAGCCACGUGUAUGCGUGAGGCGGUUCGGUGAGGCCGAGGCUGCGCGCGACUUCCUCGGCACCCCUAUUUCUUCCUUCUCCGUUAUUGGCGUCUGGUGCGGCCACGGCCGACAGCGGUC
rnacentral:misc_RNA from 1 species